rnacentral:lncRNA from 1 species
CGCACACUCACUGUCUGGUCUCAUACAUAGUAUGUGGGACUUACCUUGCUCUAACAUGUGUUUAGUCACCUGCUAGUUACAUGAUCUCUCUGCUCCUCGAUCGCCACCAUUCCAGAACUCCACCGUCUCUCCACUCCUUCAGCACCUCGGAUUCCCUGGAAAGGAAUUGGACAUUAACACUCAGAUAGGACCCAAGAGACUUAUCCCACUCCCCGCUCACUUACCUGGAUGCUCCUUGCUCUGUGUUCAAUAAACCUACUGUUUAUAUUUCACGUUAUCUCAGUGUCCCGUGUAUAUCUGCUGACCGUGGCGGCCAUAGCAGUGCACGGCAGGAUGAAAGAAGAGCGUCCGCGGCAUCCAGUCCACUGUGAUUAUAUCCAGGCCGUGGCUGCGAGUGUGUCCAUACCUGUCAUCGCCAAGAACAGCGGACUCAAGAUCGAGCUUUCCAGUCUGCGGUUAUCAUGGACGAUAAGAAGUACCGCUCUACUCUGUGGGAGAAACCAAAGAAGUUGGCAGAGCAGGCCGCGGCUACAGUGUGUUUGCACACUCUCGGGCUUCCAGGGGGCCGAAUCGGAGAGGAGCACAGCGUAAACGCUAGAGGGACGACAGAAAGUGUGCAGCAUUAGAUGCCAAUGAGUCAGCAGCGCGAAAGAGACAUAUAAGUGAAGUCCCACAGGAAGAGGAAGAGGAAAUGAUAUGCAGGACGAAAGUUGUGAAUGGUGUCUGUGGUCAGACCACACGUUAACAUUGGCCAAACACCAUCUGAACUCACUCUUAAACACAUUCAUUCCCUUUCAUUAAAGUGCAGAGUGCAGUUGUAUCUGACAAAUAACGGUGCACUUUGUAUUUGCUUUUAAGUUUUGUUAAAUUCAGUCUUCCAAGUGCCAUCUCUGUCUUAUUGCAUACUAGUGCUGGUUUGUUAUUUGCGUUCUGCCACAAUUUUUGCCUGGAGGAAUAAUGAGAUUUUUAUUAAACACACUUUUAAAGUUAUUUCGACAGAUUUCCACCCUUCACCAGAAGGGUGCAGUGUAUCUGCAAGUACUUACAGUACCAGAAGUACCAUAACAUGUCAUAAAACUUUAUUUAUUUGAAGUAUUUGUUUUGUUUUGUUUUCAGCAUUAUUGUGAAAUAAACCAUUUAACUAUGCGUUUUAUUUAUUUUUGUCCCCCAAUGUACUGUACAGUGACUCACAAAUGUCGAAACCUUGUAAGCUGCAUAACUAGACUGCAUUUUGG